rnacentral:rRNA from 1 species
AGAGUUUGAUCCUGGCUCAGAACGAACGCUGGCGGCGUGCUUAACACAUGCAAGUCGAACGGGAUUCGGAGCUUGCUCCGAUGAGAGUGGCGCACGGGUGAGUAACGCGUGGAUAACCUGCCCUGGUAUCUGGAAUAACAUCUCGAAAGGGGUGCUAAUACCGGAUAAGCUUACGGUUCCUUCGGUGACUGUGAGAAAAGGUGGCCUCUAUUUAUAAGCUACCGUAUCAGGAUGGGUCCGCGUACCAUUAGCUAGUUGGUGGGGUAAGGGCCUACCAAGGCGACGAUCUGUAGCGGGUCUGAGAGGAUGAUCCGCCACACUGGAACUGAGACACGGUCCAGACUCCUACGGGAGGCAGCAGUGGGGAAUUUUGGACAAUGGGGGCAACCCUGAUCCAGCCAUGCCGCGUGAGUGAAGAAGGCCUUCGGGUUGUAAAGCUCUUUCGGCCGGGAAGAAAUCGCAUAGGCUAAUACCCUGUGUGGAUGACGGUACCGGAAUAAGAAGCACCGGCUAACUACGUGCCAGCAGCCGCGGUAAUACGUAGGGUGCGAGCGUUAAUCGGAAUUACUGGGCGUAAAGCGUGCGCAGGCGGUUUCGUAAGACAGAGGUGAAAUCCCCGGGCUCAACCUGGGAACUGCCUUUGUGACUGCGAGGCUAGAGUACGGCAGAGGGGGGUGGAAUUCCACGUGUAGCAGUGAAAUGCGUAGAGAUGUGGAGGAACACCGAUGGCGAAGGCAGCCCCCUGGGCCGAUACUGACGCUCAUGCACGAAAGCGUGGGUAGCAAACAGGAUUAGAUACC